rnacentral:rRNA from 1 species
GAUGAACGCUAGCGGCAGGCUUAAUACAUGCAAGUCGAGGGGCAGCACGAAUAGCAAUAUUUGGUGGCGACCGGCGCACGGGUGCGUAACACGUAUACAACCUACCUAUAACAGGGGGAUAGCCUUUCGAAAGAGAGAUUAAUACCCCGUAAUAAAUUUGAUGGCAUCAUUAGAUUUUGAAAGCUCCGGCGGUUAUAGAUGGGUAUGCGUCUGAUUAGCUAGUUGGUGAGGUAACGGCUCACCAAGGCGACGAUCAGUAGGGGAUCUGAGAGGACUAACCCCCACACUGGUAAUGAGACACGGACCAUACUCCUACGGGAGGCAGCAGUAAGGAAUAUUGGUCAAUGGAGGCAACUCUGAACCAGCCAUGCCGCGUGCAGGAUGACGGCCCUAUGGGUUGUAAACUGCUUUUGUACCAGAGAAAACCCCAGUACGUGUACUGGGUUGAUAGUAUGGUAAGAAUAAGCAUCGGCUAACUUCGUGCCAGCCGCCGCAGUAA